GUAGUCUGCAACUCGACUACAUGAAGCUGGAAUCGCUAGUAAUCGCGGAUCAGAAUGCCGCGGUGAAUACGUUCCCGGGUCUUGUACACACCGCCCGUCACACCAUGGGAGUCGGGAAUGCCCGAAGCCAGUGACCCAAGCGAGAGCAGGGAGCUGUCGAAGGCAGGCCGGAUAACUGGGGUGAAGUCGUAACAAGGUACC
rnacentral:rRNA from 1 species